rnacentral:lncRNA from 1 species
AUAAAGUGACCUUAUGGUCUAAUAGGCAUCAUCCUCACAUCAGCCACCCCUAACUAGUGGUAGAUAGCCUCAUGGCGGAUUAGACCAUGAACCACCCUGAAAACUAUGUGAGCAUCAUCUGUAGGCAUACUCGACACGUCUUGCAUGAGCAUCAACAUGACCUGGGGGAUUGCGCAUGAGCAUCAACAUGACCUGGGGGAUUGCGCAAUCCAUAGGUGGGUGACCAUGAGCUUAUGCUCGAACUUAAACAAUAACUUGCGCACUAGAUCAAUGCUACUACAAAGUCUUAGAACCCUGCUCAGUUUCAGUUCCCCUAUUUAGCAGAUCACACACUACUAAACAGUACUGAAAGCCGGCUCUGUAAUCAUAACAACUGUACCGUAAGUCACACGCUACUGCACAGUCCAUGGAGCCUGGCUCCGAAACACAACAUCUAUACAAUAGAUCACACGCUAUUGUAUAGUCCUGAGAAUCCG